rnacentral:lncRNA from 1 species
AAAACAUACAUCUUUUUGUAUAUAUAUUGUAUUUUAGAUUUUUUCAGUCGGAUAUAUAUUUCUUUCAAAAUAAAUAAACUGUUAUUAAUACAAUUAUAUCAUUCUAUUCUAUAUUAUGUAUAUAGAAUAACACAUAUUUAAAAUUUCUUUUUCUUUCUCUCCCUCUCCCACAUCUCUCUCUCUCCCUCCCUCUCUCUCUUGCUCUCUCUCUCCUCCCU